rnacentral:rRNA from 1 species
GACGUAGGGCGCAAGCGUUGUCCGGAAUUAUUGGGCGUAAAGAGCUCGUAGGCGGCUUGUUGCGUCGACUGUGAAAAACCACGACUCAACCGUGGGACUGCAGUCGAUACGGGCAGGCUAGAGUUCGGUAGGGGGAGACUGGAAUUCCCGGUGUAGCGGUGAAAUGCGCAGAUAUCGGGGAGGAACACCGAUGGCGAAGGCAGCACUCUGGGCCGGUACUGACGCUGAGGAGCGAAAGCGUGGGGAGCGAACGAGG